ensembl:lncRNA
AAGGCAGGAGCGUGAGGUGAACUGAAUUUCAGGAACAAGAGAUGAUGGCUGUAACUCAGAAGGUAGAGCAGGUCGUCUGCUAAUUCGAAGGUUGGUGGUUUAAAUAUUCUUGAGCAAGGUACUAAUCCCAGUUUUCUCUCUAAUGCAUCUAUUGUGGAUGACUGAUAUGAAUGUGUUCUAAUGUUAGCUGGGAAGCACUUAUAAAGAAAAUGUUUGUUUUUUUAAAGUGCUGUUGUGAAAUGGGGCAAGUUGUAUUAAUUUGAGUGCUCAGGCAGAGUAGAAAAGUACCAUAUAAGAACCGGAAGAUUUACCAAAAGCACAUGGGUGCAGCUUACACAGGGGCCAAGUCCCAGCAAGCCCCAGUCCCAGCCAUGCAUACACACACAACACAGCCACCCUGUAGUGUAGUGGGCACAUUUUAAACAACAAAUUGCUUUGCAAGAGGAAGCUGCCACACUGACCCAACUCUCAGCGAAAAGGUGAGGUGCGGGGGACGCUGGAAAGGAGAAUGAUGGGUUUGAGACCAGGUUGGAGCUUGCAGAGGAGGUUGUUGUGGGGUUGAACUAACCUGGUUACACGAGUGUGAACUGAGACAGUUUUGAGUUAGCUGAUUGUAUCAUACAGCUGUUCUGAUAGGAUAGAUAAAAUCUUAUGGCGACAGAAUACAAUGUGAGACAGUUUGAUGAGUCUGAAUGCACUGAGAACUGAAGUGAGAGUUUAACUGGGCAAGUGGCUGGGAGCUCUGUGAAGGUGAGGAGAGGACAAAUGGUGUUAAUUGAGUUGAAAAUGGAAAUGUUUCAGGUCAAGAAGCGGGUCUACGGGAUCUGAGUUAAAUAGUAUCAUCAAUAGAGAGUGGGCUAGUGUGGCUGACCAAUUGCUGAGGCCAUUCCUCUGCAGAUGAUCUGUUAGCUGUUUGACAAAGUGAUGGCUUUUUAAUUAGUGGUUAAAUUACUGCCACGUUAAAGGCCUGUGGUACAUAGCCUAUUAACAGAAAUAGGUUGAUCAUAUUUAAGAUUGAAGCAUUAAUUAAUGGCAGGACAUCUUUGAUCCUG